rnacentral:rRNA from 1 species
CAGCAGCCGCGGUAAUGCGUAGGUCCCGAGCGUUGUCCGGAUUUAUUGGGCGUAAAGCGAGCGCAGGCGGUUAGAUAAGUCUGAAGUUAAAGGCUGUGGCUUAACCAUAGUACGCUUUGGAAACUGUUUAACUUGAGUGCAAGAGGGGAGAGUGGAAUUCCAUGUGUAGCGGUGAAAUGCGUAGAUAUAUGGAGGAACACCGGUGGCGAAAGCGGCUCUCUGGCUUGUAACUGACGCUGAGGCUCGAAAGCGUGGGGAGCAAACAGGAUUAGAUACCCACGUAGUCCCUGUCUCUUAUCAA